rnacentral:rRNA from 1 species
CCUACGGGAGGCAGCAGUGGGGGAUAUUGCACAAUGGGGGAAACCCUGAUGCAGCGACGCCGCGUGGGGGAAGAAGGAUUUCGGUAUGUAAAGCCCUAUCAGCAGGGAAGAAGAAAUGACGGUACCUGAGUAAGAAGCACCGGCUAAAUACGUGCCAGCAGCCGCGGUAAUACGUAUGGUGCAAGCGGUAUCCGGAUUUACUGGGUGGAAAGGGAGCGCAGGCGGGACGGCAAGCCUGAUGUGAAAGCCCGCGGACCAACCGCGGGACUGCAUUGGGGACUGCCGGGCUGGAGUGCCGGAGAGGUAGGCGGAAUUCCUGGUGUAGCGGUGAAAUGCGUAGAUAUUAGGAGGAACACCAGUGGCGAAGGCGGCCUACUGGACGGUGACUGACGCUGAGGCUCGAAAGCGUGGGGAGCAAACAGGAUUAGAUACCCGUGUAGUC